GGGGCCCUGGCCCACGGCCUGUUGGUACCAGUACAAAGACAGGUGUCCAGAGAUAGGGAAACAACUCAGCGUCACUUGCUGUCCUCUUGCCUUGACCAGGUGUCUUGGAGUUUGGGUGGCAAACGCAUAUCGGAGGCUUCCACGCGGUGCCCAGGACUCACCUGCUCCCAGAAGACAAAGGGCCACGCAGCAGAGAAGCCUGGAGCCCAUGGCAACACUGGGAAGCCAAGAUAUCAUCCAGCUCAGGGGUGGGGGCCCCGGGGGUGAGCAGCCUAAAGCUUUGAACCUCCCAUUUCCCUGAAAGGAGUAUUUGCCUAUGACGUCACCACUCCCACAUCGCCACUCUGGCAACUCUGCAGGGCUGUGCCGAGCCCUGUGGCUUCGAGAAGUUCAUGUGCAGAUCAGAGAGACGGUCACCCAAAUGUCGCACUGAGAGCUAAUCUGGCAAGGGUCGUUUUGCUUACUGUAACUCAUCCUAAUAUGCAAAGGAGAGCUGGGACCUGACCCAGGGCCGGUGGGUAACAAGAUCCACUGGAGCCCCCAGAGAGAGGGGAACAUCUCAGAGUCACUUGCUGUCCACUUGCUUUGAUCAGAUGUCUUGAAGUUUGGGUGGCUCCAGCCUCCACUGGGCCUGUGAGGGAAGGACACAGGGGCUGGGGAACGAACACGAGAGGGAGCCCGAUGGUGCCACGCACUUAGGUGCUGUCACGCUUAGAGGAGAGAUGUCCUACCUGGACAAGGACAAACUUGCUCCCAGGAGACAAAGGUCCGUGUGGCAGAGGAGGCUGCAGCCCACAGCAUGCAGCGGGGAGGGCAGAACUUGACAGGGUUCUCCCCGCUCAGAGUUCUGGGUCUCCGAGAGCUGAAGAUCUGGGCAUCCCUUCUCUGACUGGAGGUUAGGCAGUAAUGUCACUGCUCCAAUGUCAUUAUCCCUCCUGGUUCCCAUGAGCCUCCCUUGCCAGGUCCCUGGCUACGCCGGUCCAGGAACCCUGCUUUGUUCGGCAAAGCCCCUCACAUGAAGGGCAGGGCUGGGACGGUCUAGGCUAGCUGGGGUUAAGCCACAGGCGCGUCCACAGCUCCUCGGCUUUUCCUUUCAGGCGGGUGUUCCUCUACCUGUUCCUGCUAGGGCAAGGAGUCUGCCCCCUCCCAGCACCACACUGCACUUUUUUCCCCUUGCAAGCUCAGAGAGACUCCCUAAUGACUGCCAAGCUGAAGGUUUGGCCCCCUGAUGGGACUGCACAAUCUCAAAUUAGUGUUGAUAGCAUUAAGCCCUGUAGUGGAACAGAGCUCCAAGCAAGGCUUUCCUUAACCCUCCUGGUCCCAGAUAGCUGGCUCCAUGCCCCUGCUCUGCCCAGGCGACUUUUGGCAUUCAGCGGUUCCACAGUGCCCCCAUGUGGCCUACUGGGCAGUAAUCAAGAGAUUGCCUCUACUGUGAUAUGAGUCCUGGGGUAUGUUUAAAUUAGAAGCUAUUCUGGGGCACUUGGCUCAGUUGGUUAAGCAGCCGACCUGGGCUCAGGUCAUGAUCUCACGGUUUGUGAGUUCAAGCCCUGAGUUGGGUGCUGGGCUGACCGCUCAGAGCCUGGAGCCUGCUUCGUUUUCUGUGUCUUUCUCUCUCUGCCCCUCCCCUGCUCAUGCUCUGUCUCUGCCUCUUAACAAGAGGUAAAGGUUAAUAAAUUAGAAGCUAUUCCAUCCUUUGUCUAUUGCACUAUUUUUGUUUUCUGCCCCCACCCCCAGCAGACCAAAAAAAAAAAAAAAAAA